CCUACGGGAGGCAGCAGUGAGGAAUAUUGGUCAAUGGACGAGAGUCUGAACCAGCCAAGUAGCGUGAAGGAUGACUGCCCUAUGGGUUGUAAACUUCUUUUAUAUGGGAAUAAAAUGUUCCACGUGUGGGAUUUUGUAUGUACCAUAUGAAUAAGGAUCGGCUAACUCCGUGCCAGCAGCCGCGGUAAUACGGAGGAUCCGAGCGUUAUCCGGAUUUAUUGGGUUUAAAGGGAGCGUAGGUGGAUUGUUAAGUCAGUUGUGAAAGUUUGCGGCUCAACCAUAAAAUUGCAGUUGAAACUGGCAGUCUGGAGUACAGUAGAGGUGGGCGGAAUUCGUGGUGUAGCGGUGAAAUGCUUAGAUAUCACGAAGAACUCCGAUUGCGAAGGCAGCUCACUGGACUGCAACUGACACUGAGGCUCGAAAGUGUGGGUAUCAAACAGGAUUAGAUACCCCUGUAGUC
rnacentral:rRNA from 1 species